AUGCGGAGGCGCAUGACAUCACGCGUCCUCGGUUCCUUCCUCUGGCUGGCCUAUGUGUCGGCCGACUCCGUGGCCAUCUUCAUCCUCGGCCAUCUCGCUGUCCGUUCACGGCACGAGCUCAUUGUCUUCUGGGCGCCAUUCUUGCUUGUCCAUCUGGGCGGGCAGGACACCAUCACUGCCCUCUCCAUGCAGGACAACGAGUUGUGGAAGCGCCACCUCUUGGGCCUCAUCUCCCAGGUAGCGGUGGCUGGCUAUGUCGUGUCCAAGUCGUCUUGGACGGACAUGCAUUUGUUGGCUGCUACUGUGCUUGUUUUCCUCUCUGGGAGCCUCAAGUACGCCGGCCGUACCUACUGCCUUUACUCAGCAAGCCCAACAAAUCUCAAGGUUGAGUCCCUGCACAGGUUGUCAAAUAGGCUAACCAUGCUCGAGUCAACAGCUGCACAAGUAGGAGGAUAUGCAGGAACAUCAAGAGAGGAUGCCAUUGGGUUGUUGGGUGCCAAAUUUGAUUUGAUGCUUGGUGAGACGAAUAAGAGAUUGUUUCUAAAGGAUGAUAAUGCUACAGAAAUCAUGUCAGUGGAUGCUCCUCUCAUUGAAAUGGGAAGCGUUUUAGCAGUAAAUGAGCUGCCAGGGAUGCUAGGGAUGAUUAAAUCAAGCAGCCUGCACGGGCCCUAUGAGUAUGUGGGCAGACAACUGGCAAAAUGUUAUGAGCAGUUCUACACAAAAAAACCACUUUUACGUUUCUGUAAGAUAGGUGGCAUUAUUAUUUUUACGGGUCGUACAAGUUUCGGUGUUGCAAACCAGUAUCAUUGGGUGAGCGUUCUCUGGUUGGUAGCCUCAUUGUUCCAGUAUCUUUCAACCCCGAUAGCCCUAGUGCUGUUCAUCCUCGCUGAAAAGGGGCACCCAAUCAAUAAUAGAGUUGAUGUCACCGUGUCCUACAUAUUGCUCAUCGGAGCCAUCAUCCUAGAUGUGUCAUCUGCCUCCAUGUCCAUUCUUUCAUCUGCGAGGUCUGUCCAUUUCCGAGGUAUGGAUUUGAUUAAAGGGGUGAUCUUGACUUUGGCUAACUACAUUCAGCCAGCAUGGAGCAGAAAACAAUGGUCAGAGAAGUUAGCGCAAUAUAACAUGCUCAAGAGUUCUAUGGAAGAUGCUAGAGCCAUGCCAUGUGGGCGUCAAUGGAUCAGCAAGCAUUUGAGAUCCUGGAGUGUUGAGCUAUUGGAUCCAAGCCUAACAUACACAGAGGUCUCCGAAAAUCUCAAGGGGUUUGUCCUCAGUAAUUUGCUAAACUUUGGAACCAGGAGGCAAUAUAAUUAUGCCAAUUUCCGUGGCCAGCUAGCACUUCAAGAGUGGUGCGGCAAUAGACCGAUGACGAUGGCUCUGCGUCAUAGCAUCAAUGAUAUGAGUGAUUUGAUUUCCCCAGAAGCGUCCUCAUCUGGCACAUUGCAACAGACAUCUGCUACUACCAUGAAAAUUCGACCAUUCACGGCUCCUCGGAUAAGAAGCUGA
rnacentral:rRNA from 1 species